GAUGAACGCUGGCGGCGUGCCUAAUACAUGCAAGUCGAGCGAACGGACGAGAAGCUUGCUUUUCUGAUGUUAGCGGCGGACGGGUGAGUAACACGUGGAUAACCUACCUAUAAGACUGGGAUAACUUCGGGAAACCGGAGCUAAUACCGGAUAAUAUUUUGAACCGCAUGGUUCAAAAGUGAAAGACGGUCUUGCUGUCACUUAUAGAUGGAUCCGCGCUGCAUUAGCUAGUUGGUAAGGUAACGGCUUACCAAGGCAACGAUGCAUAGCCGACCUGAGAGGGUGAUCGGCCACACUGGAACUGAGACACGGGCCAGACUCCUACGGGAGGCAGCAGUAGGGAAUCUUCCGCAAAGGGCGGAAGCCUGACGGGACAACGGCGCGUGAGUGAUGAAGGGCUUCGGAUCGGAAAACUCUGUUAUUAGGGAAGAACAUAGGUGGAAGGAACAGUGCACACCUUGAGGGUGCCUAAUCAGAGAGCGACGGCUAAAUACGUG
rnacentral:rRNA from 1 species